rnacentral:tRNA from 1 species
GCCAAUUUAGCACAGCGGUAGGUGCAACGUAUUUGUAAUACGUAGGUCGUCAGUUCGAAUCUGACAAUUGGCU